CAUAUGUAUGUACCAAAGAAUGCAAAUUGCAAAGUUGCAGGAAAGUGACCCUAACGUCCCUUGCAUAGUCUGGGCGAUUAAAACGAACUUCAUUUUUAGUGAGACGUAAGCACUUACCUGUAGAAACAAAAGGCACAGUCCAAAAUCAGCUCAGUUAGUGAACAGCAGGCAAGCGUCAGUACAAGCCAGAACGUCUUCAAGGUAAGCGUGGAGUUACAGCGUACACCUGGAGACUGACUUCGAAGUGUCUACAACGGGAAGACGUCUUCUUUAUCGCCGAGAAGUUGAAGGAAGCAGCCACCGCAGCUCUGACCAGACUUUCCACCAACUGAGAGGAUGUAGUUUCGUGACUCGGUCGGGGGAAAUCUGGUGACCACAGCUCCGAUCGUGAAGACCAGCAGAAGCAAGUUGACUGUACAACUGCAGUUCCAUGUCAUAACCUGUGAUCGUAGAGGUGACAUGGUGAGUUUAUUUGGUGACAGACUGGUAGAGGAAGUAAAACUGGUGACCCACAUCCGAAGACUAGAAGCCAGCGUCUGUGCAGGUUACAGAAACCGACGUUCCAGAGGAUGGUCCCUACAGAUUCACCAGAAAACGAUUUUCCUUUGAAUGUCUAGGCCACACCAAUUUACAAAUGAUACUGUUUGAAUGAUACUGUUUGUUCAAUAUUAUCAUAUAGUGUAUUUUGACGUUGGUUUUAUAUAUGUUGGGCAAGGUAGUAGACCGACUCGGACUGUAUGUUGAAACGAUUUUGGUCCUAGUCACUUGCUUCUAACCAUGGGAAAUUGGCACACAAUUAUUGGCAAACCGACGCUCAUCCUGACAUUACAAUUUUUUACAGUCUUGGUAAUUUUGUCUUAUUCUCAAAUUAAAAUACAAUUGGGUUUGAAAAGAUUGUGAACAGCUAAGGAAGAAUGAGGCUUAAUAUGACUACAAAUAGACAGUCUAGCUGAAUAUAACAAAUAAAACCAACUGUAGACAGAGUAUGAAUUAACCAAAUAAAAAUA